AGGGUGAGUAAAUGGAGCCAUGAAGUGACUGGUUUUUCACAAAUCAACUGGCUGGUAAAACUUUCACAAUGCCAAAUAUAAGGUUUGGGGGUACACGUACUUACAACUGUAUUAAUUGAGACCCACGAGGCAAGAGAAGCACCUAGAAGAACAGAAUUACAAGGAAGAGAAUGGGGUUAGAAAUUUGUAGAAGACCGAGAAAGGUCUAAUGUAUAACAAUUUUUAAAACUUCAUGUGGAAAAAUUAUUCAUUUCACCAGUGACAUUAGGAUCUACUUAUGACCUCUGAAUCAGUCUUUGAUAAGGAUUACAGAGUAAAUGCCAAAAGAAACAAUAUGAUCCAAUCUUGUGUGGACCCAAAGUGCUGUUUGUUGAUUUGUUAUCAAGGAGCCUGCUCUUCCUAAUCUAUGCACUCCCUUGAAGAACUCAAGUCAUCUCCAUGUGCUCUGACACAAACUCUGCCCUCUACAUCUAUCCCCUCUCCUCAAAUUUCUCUGGUAUGUACAUUUCCAUUCUUAAUUGCCUCACUCCCACAGAAGCUACUCCUCUUCUUUUCGGAGAGUAACUCUACCAUAUUUGCAUCUGUUACCAACCCUUCCCGAACUUGCUCCAUUAUGCACCCACUCUAACAUCUUUGAUCUCUCUCUCUCUCAUUGUUUUUUCCCUAGUCUACCUUACUGCUUUCUCUCCCAUCCUGGCAAAAAUUACCUGAAAGAAUUCAUUCAACAUGCCAGGCACCAUGAAUGGUGCUACAUACGCCACAGAGACACAUUCAAAUACAAUCCCCCUGCCUUCAAGGAGCUUAGAGAGAAAUAUAAAAAAUAAUGAUUAUACAAAUUGGGUUGAGCCCUGGAAAAAAAGAAUAAAAUGCUAUAAGCAUAUGAAAGGAGGAGUAGAAGGGAAAAAUAUUAAGCUAGAUUUGAGCAAAUAAAUAGGUGACUUGAAAGUGGGAGAAAAAAAUAGCCAAGUAUUUACCAUGCAAAAAGGCCACUCUGUGUAAAGAUCCUGAUACCAGAAACAAAGCCUGAGCUGUCUGAGCAACUGUAACACCCAGUGUAUCAAUACACAGUUUAUCAGAGGAAGAUUGGCAGAACCUAUGGAUAUAUAAUUAGGCAAUGUGUCUCAGGCCAUGGGAAGAAUUUGAUUUAUAUUUUAAAGACCUGGAGAGUAGUGUCAGCAAGAUGGCAGAAAAGCAAGUCUUGAACUCUCCUUCCCCAAACCAACAUGUGGGUUCAAUUAAAAAAAUAGUAAAACCCCCAACAUGGACAAAUUCCCUUUUUAAGAAAUCCAAAAAUUAGUCAAGAAGCUAUUGUACUCUGGGUGAAUGCAAAAUCAGCCACAUGGAAGCAAUUAAGGAAAUGUAGGACACCUGUAAUCCUACCCCCAAUACAGCAUAUGAUCAGAAGGAACCUGUUGGGAAAGAAAAUAGUUGGAUCACACAUCCAACACCCCAACUUUUCUGGGUGCUGUUCAGAAGACUGGCUUCUGCCUUGCCUGUCUUGGAACACUAAUAGGACCAUGACACUCUUGCUGCCUGGGACCAGUGAGAUCAGACCGGUGAGAUCAGAGAUGAUGGUUUAGGCUAGCAGUUUCCACAGUCCACAGCUCCAGCUCAGCACUCCAGCAAUGAGUGAAGAAACUCCAGAUUCAAGUUUCUCCCUGUGCAGAGAAAGCAAUGGACAGAACACCCAACAAUCUGACUUUUCAGAAGUCUGGCCAAGGGACUGGCUGAAAUUCUGCUUGUCUGAGUACUGAUAGGACCUAGAAUACUCCUGAAGCCUGAAGGAUGCUAAGAACAAAAAAAAAAAUUAGUUAAACUAGUACAAAGAUAUGAAAAGCCCCCCUCUCUCGCCAGACUGAUUAGUGAGGGUCUUCUCCUGUAUAAGGCUAGUCUCUGAGGAGUGGAAGUGAUAGCUAUUUUAUAUAAUAUACAAGUAUCAACUUAAAGAGGGAGGAAAAAUUAACACACAGGGAAAUAUGUCCAAAACAAACAAAAUAAAUCUCCUGAAACCAAAUCUAAUAAAACCAAGAUACAUGAUUUGCCUGAAAGAGAAUUCAACAUACCCAACAUAAAGAUGCUCAAUGAGGUCAGGUAAACAAUGCAUGAACAAAGUAAAAUUUCAACAGAGAUAGGAAAUACUUUACCAAACAAAUCUUGGAACUAAAAAAUAUAAUAACUGAAAUAAAAAUUCACUAGAGAGGGUCAAAAGCACUCUAGAUCAAGCAGAAGAAGAAAUAAACAAACUCAAACACAGGUAUUUGGAAAUUAUCAAGUCAGAGUAACAAAAAGAACAAGGAAUAAAAAAGUAAAGAAAGCUUGAGAAACUUAAAAAACACCAUUAAGCGGACAAAUAUACACAUUGUAGGAGUCCCAAAAAAGGAAGGGGGAGAAAGGGAAAGAAAGCUUAUUCAAAGAAAUAAUGACUAAAAACUUCCCAAAUAUGUGUGUGUGGGAGGGAGAGGCAGGAGGCAUGGGGAAUGGACAUCCAGAUCCAGGGGACCCAAUGGAACCCAAAUAAGAUGACCCCAAAGAAAUAUGUACAAAGACACAGUUAAAUCAAAUUGUCAAAGUCAAAAAGAGAAUUCUGAAAGCAUCACAAGAAAAAUGACCUGUCACAUGCAAGAGAACUCCAAUAAGACUAUGAGCAGAUUUCUCAGAAGAAAUUUUGCAGAGAAAGUGGGAUGAUAAACUUGCACUGCUUGGGCAAUGGGGAAUGGGGGUAAUUGUCAACCCAGAAUAAUGUAAGAAGAAGUGUUCUUCAAAAAUGAAUGGGAGUGGCUGGGUGUAGUGGCUCACUCCUGUAAUCCCAGCACUUUGGGGGGCCAAGGUGGGUGGAUCACCUCAGGUCAGGAGUUUGAGACCAGCCUGGCCAACAUGGUGAAACCUCGUCUCUACUAAAAAUACAAAAUUAGCUGGGCAUGGUGGCACGUGCCUGUAAUCCCAGCUACUCGGGAGGCUGAAGCAAGAGAAUCACUUGAACCCAGGAGGCAAAAGUUGCAGUGAGCCAAGAUCACACCAUUGCACUCCAGCCUGAGUUUGCAAAAAGUGCAAAGCUCUGUCUCAAAAAAAAAAAAAAAAAAUGAGAGAUAAAGAUUUUCCCACACAAACAAAAGCUGUGAUAUUAUAGUUGAUUACCUACCCUUGUACUAUAAAAAAUGUCAAGAGGAAUUCUUCAAGUUGAAAUAAAGGGAUGCUAAACAGUAAUACAAAAGCAUAAGAAAGUACAGUUGUCCCUUGGUAUAUGAAAGGGAUUGGCUCCAGGACACCUCAUGUAUAACCAAAUCCACACAUGCUCAAUUCCUGCAUAGAAGACAUACAAAUAGUGAACAGGUAUAUGAAAAGAUGCUCAACAUCACUAAUCAUCAGGAAAAUGCAAAUCAAAACCAUCUCGUGCCUGUUAGGCUGGCCAUCUUUUUUCUUGAAAAAAGAAAAUAACAAAUGAUGGCAAGGAUGUGGAGAAAGGGGAACCCUUGAACACUUGGUGGAAAUGUAGAAUGAUACAGCUGCUAUGGGAAUCUGUAUGGAGGUUCCUCAAAUAACUAAAAAUAAAACAUGAUCAAGCAAUCCUACUUCUGGAUAUUUAUCCAAAAGAAUUGAAAUCAGGAUCUCUGAGCAACAUUUGUACUCCCAUGUUCCUAGCAGUAUUCACAAUAACCCAAGAUGUGGAAACAAUCUAAAUAUCCAGCAACAGGUGAAUGAGCAACAUAAAUGUUAUAUACACACACACACACAUAUAUACACAUGCACACACACACAUACGUGUGUGUAUAUAUAUACACACACACACGCACACACACACACAAAAUGGAAUAUUAUUCAAACUUUGAAAAGAGAAAUCCCAUCAUUUGUGACAAGAUGGAUGGCUCUGGGGGAUAUAAUGCUAAGUGAAACAAGCCAGUCACAAAAAGGCAAAUACUACAUAAUUCCACUUAUAUGAGAUAAAUGAAACAGAGAGUAGACUGGUGGUUGUCAGGGACUGGGGAGCAGGGAAGUGGGAGUUACUCUUCGAUGCAUACAAAGUUUCAAUUACAUAAAUGAAUAAGUGCUAGAGAUCUGCUGUACAAUAUGCCUAUAGUUCUGAAUUAUACACUCAAAAAUUUGUUAAAAGGGUACAUCUUGUAUUAAAUGUUCUUUCUACAACGAAAAGAGAAAAUAUAAUGGGAUGGCAUAAAUUAGUUUUAACCAAAGAAGUAAAAUGACUGGAUCCUUUGUUGUUAAAAGUUAAGUCCUUUGCGCUAUCAAGAAUGGAUUUGGGAGGAUGUGGAGAAACUGGAAUUCCCAACACUAGUAGUGGGAGUAUUAAAUGGUACAAUCACUUGGGUAGUUUCUUGUAAGUUAAAUAUCGACUGUACAAACCCUAUGAUCCAGCAAUUCAACUACCAGGUAUUUAUCCAAGAUAAAUGAAGACACACAUAGACAAAAAAUCUUGUACAAGAACGUUCACAGCAGCCUUAUUCAUAAUUUCUCCAAAAUGCUAAAAAUCCAAAUAUCUAUCAACAGGAGAAUAGAUACACUGUAGUAUAUCUUUAUAAUGAAAAACACUACUCAGCAAUAGAUAGAAACUGAUACAUGUAGCUAUAAAAAUAAAUCUCAAAGACAUUGAAUAAAAGAAUAUAUACCAUGUAAUUUCAUUAAUAUGAAGUCCAUGAAAAGUCAAAAUUAUACUGAUAAUAAUCAAAAAGCACACACACACCACAUUUUCUUUAUCGAUUCUUUGCUUAAUGGGCAUUCAGGCUGGUUCCAUAUUUUUGCAAUUGCAAAUUGUGCUGCUAUAAACAAGCAUGUGCAAGUGUUUUUUAUGUAAUGACGUCUAUUCCUCUGGACAGACACCUAGUAGUGGGACUGCUGGAUCAAAUGGUAGCUCUACUUUUAGUUGUUUAAGGAGUCUCCACGCUGUUCUCCACGCUGUUUUCCAUAGUUGUUGUACUCGUUUACAUUCUCACCAAUAGUGUAAAAUCAUUCCCUUCUAUUUCAUACCAACAUCUAUACACACACACACACACACACACACACACACACACACACACACAUAUGCAUGCAUAUCUAGUGUUCCUGUCUGUGUAUUUGGUUUUUAGCUUCUUAUUCUGAAUCAGGGGCUUCAGUUUAAUAACUUAAGUUGCAUCAUUAUUAAAGAUAGGCCAGCUUCAUUUACCAACCCUUUAUGCCCAACAUGACAAAAAAAAUGAAAUCAUAGACUCAAUAAGGAAAAGGAGAACAGUUAUUUGGUGUAGGCAAUUAAUUUUUUAAAGAUUUUACUAUUUGUUAGAAAGAUAUACAAGAGCAUUUCUAUCCUCAAAGAAAAUCCUUGGAUUUCUGCAGACAGCAGAGGGCUUCUCAAAAGUUACUACAAAAUUAAUCACCUCCACAUA